AGUAUCAUAAGUGCCUAAAAUUGUAGCAAAAGGGGUACCAUAACUUAGCCUUCCCAUAGCCAUAGUCACAUAUAGAUCAGAGGCGUCACUAGGGGGGGGCAGAGGGGGCCAUGCCCCCCCACAUCAUGCUGUGCCCCCCUUUGGGCCCCAACCAAAUGCCGGCAACUUGCUGGCCAUGUGCUUCAAUUAUAUUCCCUCGGACUGUAACAGUCUGUCACAGCCCGAGGGAAUGCAGGAGAGAGCAGCUGGAACGCUGCUGGGGCUGGAGGGAGCACUGACAUAAGCCCCGCCCCCUCCGUAAAGCAGCAGACCAUGCUGCUGCAGAAGAUGGCUGUCUGACCCCCAGCAACAGCUUCCAGUGACAGGUAGGCUUGGUGUGUGUGUGUAUGGACUCAGCAGUCUGUGUUUGUGUGUAUGGACUCAGCAGUCUGUGUGAGUGUGUAUGGACUCAGCAGUCUGUGUGUGUCUGUGUGUAUGGACUCAGCAGUCUGUGUGUGUGUGUGUAUGGACUCAGCAGUCUCUGUUUGUGUGUAUGGACUCAGCAGUCUGUGUGAUUGUGUAUGGACUCAGCAGUCUGUGUGUGUGUGUGUAUGGACUCAACAGUCUGUGUGUAUGGACUCAGCAGUCUGUGUGUGUGUGUAUGGACUCAGCAGUCUGUGUGUAUGGACUUAGCAGUCUAUGUGUGUGUGUAUGGACUCAGCAGUCUGUGUCUAUGGAUUCAGCAGUGUGUGUCUGUGUGUGGACUCAGCAGUCUGUGUGUGGACUCAGCAGUCUGUGUGAGUCAGAGAGUUUUGUCUGUCAGUAAGCCUGUUUGCGCAUGUCAGUGACCCUAUAGACCUAUGGUACAUUAUAGUACUUAUAAUACAUACGCCUUUUUACAAAGCAUAUAAGCUUGCUGUAUAAUGAUAGCGUACAGUUAUAUUAUUAGGGACUUGGGUCUUUGUUUCCUACUCUUUCUUGCAUCCUACCAUCAUCAUCACAUAUUUUUAUUUUUAUAUUUCUUCUUUUUUCUUUUUAUAAUUUUCUUUUUCUUCUUUUUAUGGCUUCUCUUUUUUUCUUAGUGCCAUAUGAUCGCAUUUUAGUUAGCAACAUAAGUGAUCUAUAUGUGGCUAUGGCUAUGGGAAGGCUAAGUUAUGGUACCCUU